rnacentral:rRNA from 1 species
AACGCGAAGAACCUUACCUGGGCUAGAAUGCAGAAUGACCGGUCCUGAAAGGGGUCUUUGUAGCAAUACACAUUUUGUAAGGUGCUGCAUGGCUGUCGUCAGCUCGUGCCGUGAGGUGUUGGGUUAAGUCCCGCAACGAGCGCAACCCCCAUCACUAGUUGCCAUCAGGUAAAGCUGGGAACUCUAGUGAAACUGCCGUCGUAAGACGCGAGGAAGGAGGGGAUGAUGUCAAGUCAUCAUGGCCUUUAUGCCCAGGGCUACACACGUGCUACAAUGGGAGAGACAAAGGGCAGCGACACGGCGACGUGAGGCUAAUCCCAAAAACUCUUUCUCAGUUCAGAUUGCAGUCUGCAACUCGACUGCAUGAAGCUGGAAUCGCUAGUAAUCGUAUAUCAGCAAUGAUACGGUGAAUACGUUCCCGGGCCUUGUA